ensembl:misc_RNA Metazoa_SRP Metazoan signal recognition particle RNA
ACUGGGGCUUGGUGGUUGGAGCCUGGAGUCCCAGUUCCUGGGGAGGCUGAGGCAGGAGGGUCGCUUGAGCCCAGGAGUUCUGGGCUGCUGUGUGCUAUGUUGAUUGGAUGACCACACCAAGUUCGACAUCAAUCUGGGGACCUCCUGGGAUCGGGGAACCACUAGGUUGCCUAAGGAGGGGUGAACUGGGCCAGGUCAGAAAUGGUGCAAAUCAAAACUCUCAUGCUGAUCAGUAGAGGGAUCGCGUGUUUGAGUAGACACUACAUUCCAGCCUAGGCAACAUGGCAUGAAUAGAUACUGCAUUC